rnacentral:rRNA from 1 species
GGUACCUGCGGAGGGAUCAUUACCGAGUUUACAACUCCCAAACCCAAUGUGAACGUUACCAAACCGUUGCCUCGGCGGGAUCUCUGCCCCGGGUGCGUCGCAGCCCCGGACCAAGGCGCCCGCCGGAGGACCAACCAAAACUCUUAUUGUAUACCCCCUCGCGGGUUUUUUACUAUCUGAGCCAUCUCGGCGCCCCUCGUGGGCGUUUCGAAAAUGAAUCAAAACUUUCAACAACGGAUCUCUUGGUUCUGGCAUCGAUGAAGAACGCAGCGAAAUGCGAUAAGUAAUGUGAAUUGCAGAAUUCAGUGAAUCAUCGAAUCUUUGAACGCACAUUGCGCCCGCCAGUAUUCUGGCGGGCAUGCCUGUCCGAGCGUCAUUUCAACCCUCGAACCCCUCCGGGGGGUCGGCGUUGGGGAUCGGCCCUUUACGGGGCCGGCCCCGAAAUACAGUGGCGGUCUCGCCGCAGCCUCUCCUGCGCAGUAGUUUGCACACUCGCAUCGGGAGCGCGGCGCGUCCACAGCCGUUAAACACCCCAAACUUCUGAAAUGUUGACCUCGGAUCAGGUAGGAAUACCCGCUGAACUUACGCCA